rnacentral:rRNA from 1 species
AGUGAACGCUGGCGGUAGGCCUAACACAUGCAAGUCGAACGGCAGCACAGGAGAGCUUGCUCUCUGGGUGGCGAGUGGCGGACGGGUGAGGAAUACAUCGGAAUCUACUCUGUCGUGGGGGAUAACGUAGGGAAACUUACGCUAAUACCGCAUACGACCUACGGGUGAAAGCAGGGGACCUUCGGGCCUUGCGCGAUUGAAUGAGCCGAUGUCGGAUUAGCUAGUUGGCGGGGUAAAGGCCCACCAAGGCGACGAUCCGUAGCUGGUCUGAGAGGAUGAUCAGCCACACUGGAACUGAGACACGGUCCAGACUCCAACGGGAGGCAGCAGUGGGGAAUAUUGGACACUGGGCGCAAGCCUGAUCCAGCCAUACCGCGUGGGUGAAGAAGGCCUUCGGGUUGUAAAGCCCUUUUGUUGGGAAAGAAAUCCAGCUGGCUAAUACCCGGUUGGGAUGACGGUACCCAAAGAAUAAGCACCGGCUAACUUCGUGCCAGCAGCCGCCGUAA